rnacentral:rRNA from 1 species
CAAUAGCGUAUAUUAAAGUUGUUGCAGUUAAAAAGCUCGUAGUUGGAUUUGUGGCGUACGGUGUGUUCCGGGCACUUGUUGUCUGAGUAACCUGCUGUUGCCAUCCUUGGGUGGAACCUGUGUGGCAUUAGGUUGUCGUGCAGGGGAUGCCCAUCAUUUACUGUGAAAAAAUUAGAGUGUUCAAAGCAGGCUUAUGCCGUUGAAUAUAUUAGCAUGGAAUAAUGAGAUAGGACUUUUUAGCUAUUUUGUUGGUUUGCGCAAAGAGGUAAUGAUUAAUAGGGACAGUUGGGGGUAUUCGUAUUCCAUUGUCAGAGGUGAAAUUCUUGGAUUUUUGGAAGACGAACUACUGCGAAAGCAUUUACCAAGGAUGUUUUCAUUAA